rnacentral:rRNA from 1 species
CCUACGGGAGGCUGCAGUGGGGAAUUUUGGACAAUGGGGGCAACCCUGAUCCAGCGACGCCGCGUGAAGGAUGAAGGUCUUCGGAUUGUAAACUUCUUUUGAAGGGGAUGCAGUACUCUUCGAAUAAGCCACGGCUAACUACGUGCCAGCAGCCGCGGUAAUACGUAGGUGGCAAGCGUUACUCGGAAUCACUAGGCGUAAAGCGCAGGUAGGAGGUUUGGUAAGUCUGUUGUGAAAGCUCCCGGCUUAACUGGGAGAGGUCAACGGAAACUGCUAGGCUAGAGUGCGGUAGAGGAAGAUGGAAUUCCCGGUGUAGCGGUGAAAUGCGUAGAUAUCGGGAGGAAUACCUAUGGCGAAAGCAGUCUUCUGGACCGUACUGACUCUGAUCUGCGAAAGCUAGGGGAGCAAACAGGAUUAGAUACCCUUGUAGUC